AGUGGGGGAUAACCUCUCGAAAGAGAGGCUAAUACCGCAUACGAUCCACGGAUGAAAGCGGGGGACCGCAAGGCCUCGCGCUAUUGGAGCGGCCGAUGCCGGAUUAGCUAGUUGGUGGGGUAACGGCCCACCAAGGCGACGAUCCGUAGCUGGUCUGAGAGGACGGCCAGCCACACUGGAACUGAGACACGGUCCAGACUCCUACGGGAGGCAGCAGUGGGGAAUUUUGGACAAUGGGCGCAAGCCUGAUCCAGCCAUGCCGCGUGAGUGAAGAAGGCCUUCGGGUUGUAAAGCUCUUUCGGCGGGGACGAAACGGUUCGUGUCAACACCACGGACUAAUGACGGUACCUGCAGAAGAAGCACCGGCUAACUACGUGCCAGCAGCCGCGGUAAUACGUAGGGUGCAGGCGUUAAUCGGAAUUACUGGGCGUAAAGCGUGCGUAGGCGGUCUGUUAAGACAGGUGUGAAAUCCCCGGGCUUAACCUGGGAACUGCGCUUGUUACUGGCCGACUGGAGUGUGGCAGAGGGGGGUGGAAUUCCA
rnacentral:rRNA from 1 species